rnacentral:sRNA from 1 species
AACGCAAAUUGCACUCUCCGGUUUUCCGGGAGAGUAUGCCUGUUUGAGGGUCAGCCUAAAUAAAUUCGGCUUCGUUGCUGUGUUUCGCGGCAACGUUUUUAGUAGGAAUYUGGGUCAUCUUAAACCGAAAGGUCUUAAGCGACUUAAAAAUUUUUUUUACGAUCCCACGAACGUUUAUAAGAUCUUCUUACACGUUCAAGGUGUCGAAUACCCUAUUAGUCGUGACCGUCGUAUCGGAUCGCGUCCAUAAUAUCAAUUCUUUAACUGACCUCAGACAGGUAAGAGUACCCGCUGAACUUA